CUUGAAAUACCACCCUUUAAUGUUUGAUGUUCUAACGUGGACCCGUAAUCCGGGUUGCGGACAGUGUCUGGUGGGUAGUUUGACUGGGGCGGUCUCCUCCUAAAGAGUAACGGAGGAGCACGAAGGUUGGCUAAUCCUGGUCGGACAUCAGGAGGUUAGUGCAAUGGCAUAAGCCAGCUUGACUGCGAGCGUGACGGCGCGAGCAGGUGCGAAAGCAGGUCAUAGUGAUCCGGUGGUUCUGAAUGGAAGGGCCAUCGCUCAACGGAUAAAAGGUACUCCGGGGAUAACAGGCUGAUACCGCCCAAGAGUUCAUAUCGACGGCGGUGUUUGGCACCUCGAUGUCGGCUCAUCACAUCCUGGGGCUGAAGUAGGUCCCAAGGGUAUGGCUGUUCGCCAUUUAAAGUGGUACGCGAGCUGGGUUUAGAACGUCGUGAGACAGUUCGGUCCCUAUCUGCCGUGGGCGCUGGAGAACUGAGGGGGGCUGCUCCUAGUACGAGAGGACCGGAGUGGACGCAUCACUGGUGUUCGGGUUGUCAUGCCAAUGGCACUGCCCGGUAGCUAAAUGCGGAAGAGAUAAGUGCUGAAAGCAUCUAA
rnacentral:rRNA from 3 species